rnacentral:rRNA from 1 species
GACGAACGCUGGCGGCGUGCCUAACACAUGCAAGUCGAACGGGGCAGCAAUGCCCAGUGGCGAACGGGUGCGUAACACGUGAGGAACUUGUCCAUCGGCGGGGGAUAGCCGGCCCAACGGCCGGGUAAUACCGCGUACGUCGGCGAGACCGCAUGGUCUUGCCGGGAAAGCAGCAAUGCACCGAUGGAGAGCCUCGCGGCCUAUCAGCUAGUUGGUGAGGUAAUGGCUCACCAAGGCGACGACGGGUAGCUGGUCUGAGAGGAUGAUCAGCCACAUUGGGACUGAGACACGGCCCAGACUCCUACGGAGGCAGCAGUGGGGAAUAUUGCGCAAUGGGCGAAAGCCUGACGCAGCGACGCCGCGUGUGGGAUGACGGCCUCGGUUGGUAACCACUAGUCGCGA